UCUGGCUUCAGCGGUCCAGAAACGGGCACACCUUCUUUCUCCUCCUUCUCUAGACCGGGAAUUGAUGUCCCAGAACCGGGUCGUAAAGAAAUCUGAUCAGAUGAAGGUGGUUGAUCUGGGACUAAAACAGAACGAGGUUGAGGUUGGGGGUGUUGGGGAAGUGUUGGGGAAACGACAGGAGGAGUGGAAAUAGGCUUAGGGGAAGGACGGGUCAGGACGAGCAUACGGCCAUGGGUUUUGACAUUGCCUGCGGAUGAAUAAGAAGCAAAAGAGGAAUGGGUUUGGUGAUUGGAUUGGGGAUUCUUGUUGGAACCAGAUGAGGAAGAAGAAGGAGUCAG
rnacentral:lncRNA from 1 species